UUUUCAUAAAUAAACUACAUACUUGUUUUUAAGACUUAUAAUUGAAAAUACUAUAACCAAAUAAUUUAAAUUUAAAUUCAACCAUAAAAAACACAGUGGUAUUAAAUCUUGAAGGAUUAUAGUUUUUUCCAAUUCAAGUAGUCUAUGGACGUUUCAAUUAGAUUGGAACAUUUUAACUUCCUUUCCUCCUAUGUGGUACUAAUAUUC
rnacentral:lncRNA from 1 species